GAUGGUUCCAAGGUCAUUGCAAAAGAAGAUGCAAAGAGGAUGGAAAAUUGAAGGUUCCUAUGCCUCAGGAAUACCAUCACAGUGAGUGUUAGAGCUUCAACACAGGAAUGGAGGGGGGAAACAAACAUUCAUUCCCUAACAGGAAUGGAUUUGAAAGUUACUGAUAUGGGGGUUUGCCUGGUUUAGUGAUGGCUGAAUGUGGGUCGGAGAAAGAGGGGCUGCUGAAAUGAAGUAAAGGAGAACAUCCCCAGACUGAGGAACAGAGGUGCCAGGAGGCCAUGAGGAAGGACUCUGGAAGAUGUCUGAAUACUAGAAACCCCGAGAGCCAGAAGAAUGCAUUCGUCUGUGGUUCAAGCUAAGUAUGGGUAGUGCCAAGAUGGUUUCUGAUUUGGUCUCCACCACAUACAGUGAUUCCAAAGGGGGGUUUCUCCCAGGUCUAAUCCAGGAGGAAGAAGAGGAUUGAAAAGGGAACACCUCCCUCCCGCAGCGGUUCAAAAGCUGCUCCAGGAACUGAGGCAAGGGGAUGAAGAGCUCUGAAGGGAGAGGCUUGAAUCACAUACUCAUCCCUGUGGUCUGGAGGGCACUGUGACUGGUAACUGAAGAAGAACCACAUGGAAUUGGGGAGGAGCAGUUCUCCAAAGGAAGGACAGAAAACUUGACAAAACAUAUGAAAUAACAGUUUUCAGACAAUGGACUGUGAUCCUUGAGAGAAUGGAAACAAAUGAGGUAUGCUCAACAAUUUAGAGAAAAGCAUGAACAUAAUGAGGAAAUAAAUUGAAGAUAAGAAGACUCAAACAGAACUCCUAAGGGAGGAAAAAUACAGUGUUUAAAAUGAAAAUGUUACCAGAUAGGAUGAAAAGCUAAUUAGAUACUGCAAAAGAAAAGAUCAGUGAACUUGAAGACACACCUUAGAAACGAUCUCAAACGAAGCACAGAGAGGAAAAAAAGAGUGAGAUAAAAACCAAUAUCACUGAUCUAUGGGACAAUGUCAAGCAGUCCGACAGACAUAACACUGGAGUCGCAAAAGGGGAUGUGGGGGCAGAAAAAACAUUUUGAAAAAAUAAUGGGCAAACAUUUUCCAAAUUUGAUGACAGCUAUAAAUCCAGAUCAAAGAAGCUCAAGGAACCCCAAGCAUGAUAAAUAAAAAUAAAAUCACACCAGGGAGCAUUACAUUUAAAUUGCUGAAAGCCAGUGAUAAAGAUAAAAUCUUAAAAGCAGUCAGAGGAAAAUUAAGAAAAGACAUUAUGUACCUAGGAACAAAGAUAACAAUGACAGCAGACUACUCAUCAGAAACUAUGCAAGCUGGAAGACAAUGAAACAUCUUUAAAUGCUGAAAGAAGAAAACCCCAAAAACCUAUUAACCUAGAAUUAUGUUCAC
rnacentral:lncRNA from 1 species